rnacentral:rRNA from 1 species
GAGUUUGAUCCUGGUUCAGGACGAACGCUGGCGGCGUGCUUAACACAUGCAAGUCGAACGAGAAAUCUGGAAAUAGAAGCUUCGGUGGAAAAGACAAGAAGGAAAGUGGGGGACGGGUGAGUAACGCGUGAGCAACCUACCUUGUACAAAGGGAUAGCCUCGGGAAAACCGGAAUUAAUUCCAUAUGAGACCCCAAUAACGAGUGUUAAAGAGGUUAAAGAUUUAUCGGUAUAAGAUGGGCUCGCGUCUGAUUAGCUAGUUGGAGGGAUAAAAGCCCCCCAAGGCGACGAUCAGUAACCGGCUUGAGAGAGUGAACGGUCACAUUGGAACUGAGACACGGUCCAAACUCCUACGGGAGGCAGCAGUGGGGAAUAUUGCACAAUGGGGGAAACCCUGAUGCAGCGACGCCGCGUGAGCGACGAAGGUUUUCGAAUCGUAAAGCUCUGUCCUUGGAGAAGAUAAUGACGGUAACCAAGGAGGAAGCACCGGCUAAAUACGUGCCAGCAGCCGCGGUAAUACGUAUGGUGCGAGCGUUGUCCGGAAUUAUUGGGCGUAAAGGGUACGUAGGCGGUUUAGCAAGUCAGAUGUUAAAGCGUGGGGCUUAACCCCAUAAAGCAUUUGAAACUGUUAAACUUGAGUAGUGGAGAGGAAAGUGGAAUUCCUAGUGUAGCGGUGAAAUGCGUAGAUAUUAGGAGGAAUACCAGUUGCGAAGGCGACUUUCUGGACACAAACUGACGCUGAGGUACGAAAGCGUGGGGAGCAAACAGGAUUAGAUACCCUGGUAGUCCGCGCCGUAAACGAUGAUUACUGGGUGUAGGGGGUAUCGACUCCCUCUGUGCCGAAGCAAACGC